rnacentral:rRNA from 1 species
AAUCUUCCGCAAUGGACGAAAGUCUGACGGAGCACGCCCCGUGAACGAAGAAGGCCUUCGGGUCGUAAAGUUCUGUUGUUAGGGAAGAACAAGUACCAGAGUAACUGCUGGGACCUUGGGGGGUCCCUACCGGAAAGCCCCGGGUGACUACGGGCC